GAACGGAAAGUAUUUGAUGUUUUACAUUGGCUUCUCUUUGAAAUCUCUUAUAAAUUAUUGUGCAGUGGGAAUUUUGUGCGUGAAUCAUCUUCAAUAAAGUGUAAAUUAAUUAAAUUGAAACGAGAUUUGGUGUUUCCAUUUGUUGCUGUGUUCAAUUUCGAAUUGAAGUUACUUCCCAACUCAGCUGAGGGAAAACCAGUUGAACAACUGACGCAGAAUAGACAUGUUCUACACCUUACAUCAAACAACAACAAUAACGCUGAGAGCUUGGACGGAUCGGAGUUUGCAUGGACGCAAUUUCUAGCCCAAAUAUCAGAUCCAUCGUGAAAUCUCUUGUAGAAUGAUGUCGAACACCUUGUCCUGAAUAGCAACAAAUUUUUUUUCUGGAAACGUUCAAGAAAUCUAUUGUCCAAUAUUCCAGAGCAGCCAGAUCUCGUUUCAGAAAAGCUGAUGUUUUGCCAAUGAAUAACAUUAAAUGUAAUUAAGAAAGCUUCCUUGUAAACGGAGUCCUCUUACGGAUAUAAGGAAAUCUAUUCUAUUAUCAAGUAAUUACUAUUAGCAGACGACAUUGUAGAAUGUGAUCUCAGUAGACGGUUUUGAUGUGAAGGUCAAUAAUCCAUUGUAGUCAGGAAUCUAUGUUCGACUUUAUAAUCAGAAUUGUCUCACUGUCAUAUUCUAAGAACAAUGAUGUUUAUUAAUAGCACUGAGCUGAAGUUUUCAAUUCAAUGUGUUGAAGGGUUUCGCUUUCAAAUUAGCAAGUAUACAUCUAUUCUUAAUUACAUAUUAAUACAUUU